CAGUAGCCGCGGUAAUACGUAGGUGGCAAGCGUUGUCCGGAAUUAUUGGGCGUAAAGGGCUCGCAGGCGGUUUCUUAAGUCUGAUGUGAAAGCCCCCGGCUCAACCGGGGAGGGUCAUUGGAAACUGGGAAACUUGAGUGCAGAGGAGGGGAGUGGAAUUCCACGUGUAGCGGUGAAAUGCGUAGAGAUGUGGAGGAACACCAGUGGCGAAGGCGACUCUCUGGUCUGUAACUGACGCUGAGGAGCGAAAGCGUGGGGAGCGAACAGGAUUAGAUACCCCUGUAGUCCCUGUCUCUUAUAA
rnacentral:rRNA from 1 species